rnacentral:rRNA from 1 species
AGAUUGAACGCUGGCGGCAGGCCUAACACAUGCAAGUCGAGCGGUAGAGAGGUGCUUGCAUCUCUUGAGAGCGGCGGACGGGUGAGUAAUGCCUAGGAAUCUGCCUAGUGGUGGGGGAUAACGUUCGGAAACGGACGCUAAUACCGCAUACGUCCUACGGGAGAAAGCGGGGGACCUUCGGGCCUCGCGCCAUUAGAUGAGCCUAGGUCGGAUUAGCUAGUUGGUGAGGUAAUGGCUCACCAAGGCGACGAUCCGUAACUGGUCUGAGAGGAUGAUCAGUCACACUGAACUGAGACACGGUCCAGACUCCUACGGGAGCAGCAGUGGGGAAC